rnacentral:rRNA from 1 species
AGCAGCCGCGGUAAUUCCAGCUCCAAUAGCGUAUAUUAAGGUUGUUGCAGUUAAAAAGCUCGUAGUUGAAUUUCGGGGUUAGUAGGUUGGUCAUGCCUCUGGUAUGUACUGGUCUCACUGAUUCCUCCUUCCUUAUGAACCGUAAUGCCAUUAAUUUGGUGUUGCGGGAAAUUUGGACUGUUACUUUGAAAAAUUAGAGUAGUUUAAAGCAAGCUAACGCUUGAAUACAUUAGCAUGGAAUAAUGAAAUAGGACGUUCGAUCUUAUUUUGUUGGCUUCUAGGAUUGACGUAAUGAUUAAUAGGGAUAGUUGGGGGCAUUAGUAUUCAAUUGUCAGAGGUGAAAUUCUUGGAUUUAUUGAAGACUAACUACUGCGAAAGCAUUUGCCAAGGAUGUUUUCAUUAAUCAAGAACGAAAGUUAGGGGAUCGAAGACGAUCAGAUACCGUCGUAG